rnacentral:rRNA from 1 species
AUUGAACGCUGGCGGCAGGCCUAACACAUGCAAGUCGAGCGGAUGAGUGGAGCUUGCUCCAUGAUUCAGCGGCGGACGGGUGAGUAAUGCCUAGGAAUCUGCCUGGUAGUGGGGGACAACGUUUCGAAAGGAACGCUAAUACCGCAUACGUCCUACGGGAGAAAGCAGGGGACCUUCGGGCCUUGCGCUAUCAGAUGAGCCUAGGUCGGAUUAGCUAGUAGGUGAGGUAAUGGCUCACCUAGGCGACGAUCCGUAACUGGUCUGAGAGGAUGAUCAGUCACACUGGAACUGAGACACGGUCCAGACUCCUACGGGAGGCAGCAGUGGGGAAUAUUGGACAAUGGGCGAAAGCCUGAUCCAGCCAUGCCGCGUGUGUGAAGAAGGUCUUCGGAUUGUAAAGCACUUUAAGUUGGGAGGAAGGGCGAGUAAGUUAAUACCUUGCUGUUUGACGUUACCAACGGAAUAAGCACCGGCUAACUUCGUGCCAG